AUUGAACGCUGGCGGAAUGCUUUACACAUGCAAGUCGAACGGCAGCACGGACUUCGGUCUGGUGGCGAGUGGCGAACGGGUGAGUAAUGUAUCGGAACGUGCCCAGUCGUGGGGGAUAACGUAGUGAAAAUUACGCUAAUACCGCAUACGAUCUAUGGAUGAAAGCGGGGGAUCGCAAGACCUCGCGCGAUUGGAGCGGCCGAUAUCAGAUUAGGUAGUUGGUGGGGUAAAGGCCCACCAAGCCAACGAUCUGUAGCUGGUCUGAGAGGACGACCAGCCACACUGGAACUGAGACACGGUCCAGACGCCUACGGGAGGCAGCAGUGGGGAAUGUUGGACAAGGGGCGAAAGCCUGAUCCAGCCAUUCCGCGUGCAGGAUGAAGGCCCUCGGGUUGUAAACUGCUUUUGUACAGAACGAAAAGGUUUCUACUAAUACUAGGAGCUCAUGACGGUACUGUAAGAAUAAGCACCGGCUAACUACGUGCCAGCAGCCGCAGUAA
rnacentral:rRNA from 1 species